GACGAACGCUGGCGGCGUGCUUAACACAUGCAAGUCGAACGGAAAGGCCCUGCUUUUGUGGGGUGCUCGAGUGGCGAACGGGUGAGUAACACGUGAGUAACCUGCCCUUGACUUUGGGAUAACUUCAGGAAACUGGGGCUAAUACCGGAUAGGAGCUCCUGCUGCAUGGUGGGGGUUGGAAAGUUUCGGCGGUUGGGGAUGGACCUGCGGAUUAUCAGCCUGUUGGUGGGGUAGUGGCUUACCAAGGCUUUGACGGGUAGCCGGCCUGAGAGGGAGACCGGCGACAUUAGGACUGAGAGACGGCCAAGACUCCUACGGGAGACAGCAGUGGGGAAUAUUGCACAAUGGACGGAAGCCUGAUGAAGCAACGCCGCGUGCGGGAUGACGGCCUUCGGGAUGUAAACCGCUUUCGCCUGUGACGAAGCGUGAGUGACGGUAAUGGGUAGAGAAGCACCGGCUAAAUACGUG
rnacentral:rRNA from 1 species